rnacentral:lncRNA from 1 species
GUAAAGGUUAGGAUGUUGUUGUGGUGCUUGAACCUGGAAGCAUGCUCCACCGGGACCUGGGUUCGGUCGAGCAACAACUAGUCCGCUAAUGACGCCAGUCGCCGGCUGCUGUUCGGAGGCUAGCAAAAGGGCGAGAGGGUUUGCUAGUACGUACAGAGCGUGCGCGAGUAAGUGGCUGGGAGCCCGCCGUUGUCAAGAGAGAAGUUGCGAGGGGCAGAGGAUCAUGGCGCUAGAACUUGUCGAUGCGCAGGGAGUUCGCCGAAGGGCGUUAAAGAGCACCGAAGCCUUGGCGAGUUUCCUCCAUACUCCGAAAUUUGUCGUCGUGCCGUUACAGCGUGGGUCGACGUCACUGCGGUCUCGUUGCCGGUGAGCAUCUUUCUCUUUGUGUCAUCGUUUUCUCUGUUUAUUUUUUUUGUGCGACUCGGACGGUUUAGUGCUCAGGAGUAUGUCGGCACCGCGUCAUGACCAGACAGAGCGCCGCCGUGGCCAGCGGUUUCUUCCGUGCCUGGUUAAUCGGGGAGAGCGUGGUGGAGGGAUUGCCAGCAAUGGCGCCGCCACUGUCCGUUAUCGACCGCCGUGACCGGUUGGUUAGGAGGAAGAAGACACGGGGAGGUCGUUGAUCGUGGAACGAACGACCAGGAUUUGAUCUGGUAUUCUGGUUCGCCCGUGGUGUGGUUAACCGUAGAUCUUCGAUCGUGGGGCCGUGGGUGGUCUGAAGUUCUUUAAAUCCGGUUCGUCGGAUCUUGAUCCGAUGGCGGUCCUCGCAUACCGCUUCAGUGUCAGAGUGAUUUAAUCCUGGCCCUUGAAUCUGAUCGGGUGGCUGAGAUCGACUCGUACCCCUUCGUCGUGCCUAGUUUGCAAAAGAGACCCUGUAUUAAUAGUUUAUCAACCCGCAGUCCUGUCUGUGGGAAUCCUGAGUCUCAUGAAUUUUUGCGUAAUAACCCCUGUGUCUCUCUGUUAUUUGCGCCCAGUCCAGAAGCUUAGGAAAUUCAGAAAAAUAAUUUAGGAAAUGGUUUUUUGUGUAAAAAUAUAUCCGGAACUUAUUUAAUUCAUAGAAAUUCUAUUUUUACUCCUUUUUAAUCCAUUCCAGUUGUAAUAAUUUUGUAUUAAUAUUGUCUAUCAACUAAUAACACUGUUUAGCCAUUAAACUUGAAUUGAAUUUGUUCAUUAGGAUUAAUCUAUUCUAAGCACUAAAUAAUUUCAGAAAUUCAUAACUUAAUAAUCAUAGCUCCGAAUUUAGUGGUUCUCGUUCCUACGAUCUCGUAGCAACGUGUAGAUUAUUAGUAUUCAGUUUAUUCUUAUGUUUGUUGUGAUGUUAAUUUUGCGUAUACCAUGUUCGUUUGUAUUGCUACGACUAGCGUGAGGUCACGAGUCAUCUGAAGAUCAUCCUGGUACCUGGAAUCUCAAGUCCCAG